rnacentral:rRNA from 1 species
UACGUAGGUGGCUAGCGUUGUCCGGAUUUACUGGGCGUAAAGAGCGCGCAGGCGGUCGUUCAAGUCGAGUGUGAAAGCCCCCGGCUCAACUGGGGAGGGUCACUCGAUACUGAUCGACUCGAAGGCAGAAGAGGGAAGCGGAAUUCCCGGUGUAGUGGUGAAAUGCGUAGAUAUCGGGAGGAACACCAGUGGCGAAGGCGGCUUUCUGGUCUGCUCUUGACGCUGAGGCGCGGAAGCUAGGGUAGCAAACGGG